rnacentral:rRNA from 1 species
UACGUAUGUGGCGAGCGUUGUCCGGAUUUACUGGGCUUAAAGAGUCCGUAGGCGGCGCGGAAAGUGGGGUGUGAAAGCCCUCGGCUUAACCGAGGAAUUGCGCUCCAAACUGCCGUGCUCGAGGAACCUAGAGGUGAGCAGAACUGAUGGUGGAGCGGUGAAAUGCGUUGAUAUCAUCAGGAAUACCGGAGGCGAAGGCGGCUCACUGGGGGUUUUCUGACGCUGAGGGACGAAAGCCAGGGUAGCGAACGGG